GCCAUGAGCGCAUGAUACGCCCGUCGUUCGCCAAUGAAGUAGUAAGGUAAUAAAUAACCCUUUGAAUCAUUUUUUUACUUCAGUUUAUUUGUAUUUGAAUACAUGGUUUAUUUUAUAAGAACAUGAGCAUGGAGCGCCGUCUCCUUGACAUUCAACAAAGUCCCAUAACUGUGGAACAACAAUUCAGAAUUCCGUCAAAAACGAAAGGGGAUCAGGGUUUAUCAAUAUUAAGAUUGUGUUGAAAUUUGAAAAAAAUCCAUCGAAGGAUAUUUGAGCUACGGUAGGACAUUCAAUGAAAUAACGAAAUUUUGACGAACAAAGUCCCAUAACUCUGGAACGACAAUUCAGAAUUCCGUCAAAAACGAAAGGGGAUCAGGGUUUAUCAAUAUUAAGAUUGUGUUGAAAUUUGAAAAAAAUCCAUCGAAGGAUAUUUGAGCUACAGUAGGACAUUCAAUGAAAUCACGAAAUUUUGACGAACAAAGUCCCAUAACUCUGGAACGACAAUUCAGAAUUCCGUCAAAAACGAAAGGGGAUCAGGGUUUAUCAAUAUUAAGAUUGUGUUGAAAUUUGAAAAAAAUCCAUCGAAGGAUAUUUGAGCUACAGUAGGACAUUCAAUGAAAUCACGAAAUUUUGACGAACAAAGUCCCAUAACUCUGGAACGACAAUUCAGAAUUCCGUCAAAAACGAAAGGGGAUCAGGGUUUAUCAAUAUUAAGAUUGUGUUGAAAUUUGAAAAAAAUCCAUCGAAGGAUAUUUGAGCUACAGUAGGACAUUCAAUGAAAUCACGAAAUUUUGACGAACAAAGUCCCAUAACUCUGGAACGACAAUUCAGAAUUCCGUCAAAAACGAAAGGGGAUCAGGGUUUAUCAAUAUUAAGAUUGUGUUAAAAUUUGAAGAAAAUCUGUCAAAGGAUAUUUGACGUAGCGUACGACAUUAACAGACGGACAGACGGACGCGGGGUAUACCAUAAUACGUCCCGUCAUAGAC